ensembl:lncRNA
CCGUCCUCCCCAGCCUGCCAGCGCAGCACUGCAGCACGGGGGUGGGUGGCGCCCAUGCUGAGGAGUUCCCUCCCGUGCCUGUCACUAUGGGGGAUGCUGAUUUCGAGAGCCCCGGGAUGCAGUCUGUGGCACAAUUGAAUGGGUUUUAAUUCGCACAGGCUAGUUCGGGUAGAUUCGUGGCUUGUUUAAUUGGCAUUUGGCUUUGAUGUUAAUUGCAUGUCCCCUGUUUAGAUCUGCAUUUGUCAUUUGCAUCCCAUAGCACAAGGUUGCUGUGCGUUCCCUCUGCUCCCCUGAAAGUACAGCAGCAACGUGAUUCAAGUUUCAUGCAUGUCAAUUAAUGGUAUUUGUAUGAUCUGUUAUGUCUGUUUCUCGAAUGCUUGCGCAGUGGGUUUCUUUCCAUGGUGCCCCACUCAUUUCUUCCCCAUUUGCUGGGUGAUCGUUUGGGCCAUGCUUAUUCCUGAGGGGGAUGCAGAACUGCACAGCUGCGGGGCUCAGUCUGGAGGGCAGUUUUCUGGGAGUUCCCUUAGGUAGCCCGGAGUCUGCACAGCCGGUGUCUUUGUGGCUUGAGAAAGGAAGGUCUCUGUGCAGUGGCAUUCAUCUCCAGAGGGAUGUUGCAUUUGCAAUUGGCAUUGUGCAUUCCCAGACGGCUGAGUGAGAAGGCAGGUUUCCCUCCAUGUUCCACGAUUGUCUUGAGGGAGAUCACGCGACAAGUGAAUGACAGCCGGGGGAUCAGGCCUAGCCGCAUGGGUUCACAAAGGCAGGUCCUGCUUGACCAACCUGAUCUCCUUCUAUGAUCCAGUGACCCGUCUGGUGGAUGAGGGAAAGGCUGUUGAUGUAGUCUACGUAGAUUUCAUCAAAGCCUUUGACACUGUCUGCCACUGUAUUCUCCUGCAGAAAGUGGCAUUCCGUGGCUUGGACAGAUACAGUCUUGUCUGGGUAAGGAACUGGCUGCGGGGCCGGGCCCAGAUAGUGGUGGUGAAUGGAGUUAAACCUAGGUGGUGACCGGUCACAAGUGGUGUUCCGCAGGGUUCAGUGCUGGCGCCUGUCCUGUUUAAUAUUUUUAUUGAUGACCUGGAUGAGGGCAUUGAGUGCACCCUCAGGAAGUUUGCAGAUGACACCAAGCUGUCUGGAAGUGUUGAUCUGCCUGAGUGUAGCGAGGCCCUACAGAGGGAUCUGGAUAGGUUGGAUAGCUGGGCUGAAGCCAAUGGGAUGGGAUUCAACAAGACCAAAUGCUGGGUCCUGCACUUUGGCCGCAAUAACCCCAGGCGAUGCUAGAGGCUUGGAGCAGAGUGGCUGGAAGACUGUGUAGAGGAAAUGGACCUGGGGGUGUUGAUUGACGCUAGACUGAACAUGAGCCAGCAGUGUGCCCAGGGGGCCAAGAAGGCCAAUGGCAUCCUGGCUUGUAUCAGAAAUAGUGUGGCCAGCAGGAACAGGGAAGUAAUUAUCCCCCUGUACUCAGCACUGGGGAGGCCACACUCGAGUACUGUGUCCUGUUUUAGGCCCCUCACUGUAAGACAGACAUCGAGGCCCUGGAGCGUGUCCAGAGGAGGGCAACAAAGCUGGUGAGGGGUCUGGAGCACAGGUCUUAUGAAGAGCGGCUGAAGGAGCUGGGAUUGUUCAGUCUAGAGAAGAGGAGGCUCAGGGGAGACCUUACUGCUCUCUAUAACUUCCUGAAGGGAGGUUGUAGUGAGCUGGGGGUCAGCCUCUUCUCUCGGGUGACUAGUGAUAGGACUGGAGGGAAUGGCGUCAAUCUGCGCCAGGGAAGAUUCAGGCUGGACAUUAGGAAAUACUACUUGUCUGAAAGGGUGGUCAGGCACUGGAAUGGGCUGCCCAGAGAGGUGGUGGAGUCACCGAUCCUGGUGGUGUUCAAAGAGUGGAUGUUGUGUUGAGGGACAUGGUUUAGCGAGAAGCACUGGUGAAGGGUGAAUGUUUGGACUGGAUGAUCCUGUGUGUCUUUUCCAACCUUAGCAAUUCUAUGAUUCUAUGAUUCCCUGAAAGAAGCUGACAAACAGAAAUUUGUAACACGUUUCAGGAGUGCUGUGGUUUGCUGUGUGUGGAGCUCUGCAUUCCAAAGUGCUGCAGGCACUGCAUUCUUCCUUUGCUGAGUUGUGCUUCUCUUUUUGUUUGCUCUGUGUUUUGCCUCCUGCUCAUUAUGUCUCUCCAUACAGAUGUGCCCUUAUCCACCCACUCUGAUGUAUUGUCUUGCAGCUGAGCUGGGAAAUUGUGUCAUUGCGAGGAUUAGGAAUUGUGUUGGACUGCAUAUAGACACAUAGCUCUGAAAGUAAUGCCUCCUAUGUAUUUCCAUGGAAAGUACAAUCUUAAAUGGCACACAAUAACCCUGCCUGAUGGAUUGGAAUCAUAGUUACAGAAUUCGAUUUUUCAUCAUUAUCCCCAUUGUACCUCUGCAUUUUACGGGCUGUGAACCAAAGCCUUCAUGUUGCACUCAUAUAAAUCUUUGACAGAGGAUGUGGCCCUCUGUAGCCACUGCACAAAUACAUCAUCCAACACCUCAUGGUGCUCACAUCCACUCUUUGUUCUCCAUAAACAUUCAGCAAGCGUUAGUGAAUGUCAAUGGAUGCAAUUCUUUGUGCAUGGAGGAGUGCAGCGAUGCACUUCCUUGUGAGAUGCCAUUUGGUCAGAUUGCCCCUCUAUUGCCAUCCAUCACAUGGUGUCAAAACACAGUGGGAUAUUGGUGGGAACGUUCAGCCUCUGCUUUGUACCACCAGCGUUGGCCUUGGACAGCAUGGGCUGCCACAAUAAAUCGGGAGGCAUUACUUUCAGAGCAGCACUGAUGGAAUACACGGAAUCGUAAUUAUGUACAUAAUAAAACAAUUGAAUUGUC